AUGCCGGUGAUGAAGAAGGCCUUUGGGUUGUAAAGCUCUUUUUUUUUGGGGUUUUAAAGGGGGGGGGGGAAGAUAAUUUGGAAACCCUUGCUACCCUUUAAAAGGAAUUAAGGUCCCGGCCUAACUUCGUAGCCAGCAGCCGCGGUAAUACGAAGGGACCUAGCGUAGUUCGGAAUUACUGGGGCGUAAAUGCGCGCGUAGGCCGUUGAGUUAGUUAAUUGUGAAAUCCCAAAGCUUAACUUUGGAACUGCAAUUAAAACUGCUCGACUAGAGUUUGAUAGAGGAAAGCGGAAUACAUAGUGUAGAGGUGAAAUUCGUAGAUAUUAUGUAGAACACCAGUUGCGAAGGCGGCUUUCUGGGUCAACACUGACGCUGAGGCGCGAAAGUAUGGGUAGCAAAGAGGAUUAGAUACCCUCGUAGUCCAUACCAUAAACGAUGAUUGC
rnacentral:rRNA from 1 species